rnacentral:rRNA from 1 species
GAUGAACGCUAGCGGCAGGCUUAAUACAUGCAAGUCGUGGGGCAGCAGGACUGUAGCAAUACAGUUGCUGGCGACCGGCAAACGGGUGCGGAACACGUACGCAACUUACCCUGAACUGGGGGAUAGCCCGGGGAAACCCGGAGUAAUACCCCGUAAUAUAAUGGAGUGGCAUCACUUUAUUAUUAAAGCUCCGGCGGUUCGGGAUGGGCGUGCGGCUGAUUAGGUAGUUGGUUGAGGUAACGGCUCACCAAGCCUACGAUCAGUAACUGGUGUGAGAGCACGCCCCGUCACACGGGCACUGCGACCCGGGCCCCACUCCUACGGGAGGCAGCAGUAUGGAAGAUUGGGCACUGGAGGCUACUCUGACCCAGCCAUGCCGGGUGGAGGAUGCAGGCCCUCGGGGUUGUAAACUUCUUUUAUAGGGGACGAACCCUGUGUAUUCUUGCGCAGUUGACGGUACCCUAGGAAUAAGCACCGGCUAACUCCGUG